rnacentral:rRNA from 1 species
UGUUUUUUAAAUAAAGACUUGUAUGAAUGGCAAAACGAAAGCUUAACUGUCUCCACUGUCCAGCCAGUGAAACUGAUCUUCCUGUUCAAAAGCAGGAAUAAAAAUGUAAGACGAAAAGACCCUAUGGAACUUUAGACACAAAUCAGCUAUGCCAACAGACCGCAUAUGCCAUGAUCCACAUCUUUAGUUGGGGCGACUGCGGAGAACAAAAAUCCUCCGUGAUAUCUACUAAAUUACACAAAACUAAGUACCAAGACACUUGAAACAGCUGAUCCAAUAAAAUUGAUCAACGAACUAAGCUACCCUAGGGAUAACAGCGCAAUCUUCUUACAGAGGCCAUAUCGACAAGAAGGUUUACGACCUCGAUGUUGGAUCAGGAUAUCCAGACAGUGUAGCCGCUGUCACAGGUUUGUUUGUU